rnacentral:misc_RNA from 1 species
UCGUAACAAGGUUUCCGUAGGUGAACCUGCGGAAGGAUCAUUACUGAGUGAGGGUUUCCUUCGGGUGCCCAACCUCCCACCCUUGUGUAUUAGACCCUGUUGCUUCGGCGGGCAUCUCCCCUGUAUUUCGGGGGGGGUAGUUCCCGCCGGUAGCCCUAUACAUGAACACUGUUUAUGAGAGAUUGCAGUCUGAGUUUGAUUGAAAUAACAAUCUAUUAAAACUUUCAACAAUGGAUCUCUUGGUUCCGGCAUCGAUGAAGAACGCAGCGAACUGCGAUAAGUAAUGUGAAUUGCAGAAUUCAGUGAAUCAUCGAGUCUUUGAACGCACAUUGCGCCCCCUGGUAUUCCGGGGGGCAUGCCUGUCCGAGCGUCAUUUCUGCCCUCAAGCCCAGCUUGGUAUUGGGUCGUCGUCCCCCCUCUCUUGGGGAGGGACGGGCCCGAAAGGCAGCGGCGGCACCGUGUCUGGUCCUCGAGCGUAUGGGGCUUUGUCACCCGCUCUUUAGGACCUGCCGGCGCCUGCCCGUUGGCGUGCUUUCUAGCAUUGUCUUCCUUAUAAUUUUUUUCAGGUUGACCUCGGAUCA